GGGAGGGGAGGCGUUCUGCCUCAGACACCACCCACCAAGCUCCCCAGGGCCUUCCUUUCCCGAACACAGGCCCAGGUCGACUCAUCUUUCUGAUUCAGGUGUAAUGGCCUAAAGUUGGGGGAUGUCACUUAUGGGAUAACUGAGGCCCAAAUCCCAGCCUUUGGGGCUGUCUCCAAAGCCCCUGAAGCCUUCACAGGCUAAGAUGGGAGAAGCAGCCCUGUCUAAGAUUUGAAAGGUCAAGAUUGGGAAGACUGGUGUAAAAGAUACUCAAAGUAGAAUCAGCAAGACUCCACGUUGGCUGGACAUUGGCAUGAUUUGGGGCCUAGGAGGAGUCAGGACAGGUUGUGCUGAUGGGGUGGUCAGAGACCUGGUGCCCCACCUCCACCUGUUCCCCCAUGUCGACCCUCCCCACCAAGUGAGAGACCUGGGCCGGAGGGGUGGGCAGAGGGAGCCUUCUGUGUGCCUCACCAGGAACAGAUGAUCUAAGGAAACUAUAUCAGGACCUUUCCUGGGGGAGUGGGGUGCUUAGGCAGGACCCUCGAGUUUGCUGUGCCCACCUGAGCCAGGGUCGAUACCUCCAGGCCUGACUUCCUUCUCUACCUGACUCCCAGUGCCCAGCGGGCCUCCGCGGAAGGUGGAGGUGGAGCCACUGAACUCCACUGCUGUGCAUGUCUACUGGAAGCUGCCUGUCCCCAGCAAGCAGCAUGGCCAGAUCCGCGGCUACCAGGUCACCUACGUGCGGCUGGAGAAUGGCGAGCCCCGUGGACUCCCCAUCAUCCAAGACGUCAUGCUAGCCGAGGCCCAGGAAACCACUAUCAGCGGCCUGACCCCGGAGACCACCUACUCCGUUACUGUCGCUGCCUAUACCACCAAGGGGGAUGGUGCCCGCAGCAAGCCCAAAAUUGUUACUACAACAGGUGCAGGUGAGUGAGGGGUCAGGACGGACCUGAGGGUGGGGCAGCAGGAGGGCAGCGCCAGAGCCCAGCUCGUGGUCCUUCAGUCCCAGGCCGGCCCACCAUGAUGAUCAGCACCACGGCCAUGAACACUGCGCUGCUCCAGUGGCACCCACCCAAGGAGCUGCCUGGCGAGCUGCUGGGCUACCGGCUGCAGUACUGCCGGGCCGACGAGGCGCGGCCCAACACCAUAGAUUUCGGCAAGGAUGACCAGCACUUCACAGUCACCGGCCUGCACAAGGGGACUACCUACAUCUUCCGGCUUGCUGCCAAGAACCGGGCUGGCCUGGGUGAGGAGUUCGAGAAGGAGAUCAGGACCCCCGAGGACCUGCCCAGCGGCUUCCCCCAAAACCUGCGUGUGACAGGACUGACCACGUCUACCACAGAACUGGCCUGGGACCCGCCAGUGCUGGCGGAGAGGAACGGGCGCAUCACCAGCUACACCGUGGUGUUCCGAGACAUCAACAGCCAACAGGAGCUGCAGAACGUCACGACAGACACCCGCUUUACCCUUACUGGCCUCAAGCCAGACACCACUUACGACAUCAAGGUCCGUGCAUGGACCAGCAAAGGCUCUGGCCCACUCAGCCCCAGCAUCCAGUCCCGGACCAUGCCAGUGGAGCAAGUGUUUGCCAAGAACUUCCGGGUGGCGGCUGCAAUGAAGACGUCUGUGCUGCUCAGCUGGGAGGUUCCCGACUCCUAUAAGUCAGCUGUGCCCUUUAAGAUUCUGUACAACGGGCAGAGUGUGGAGGUGGACGGGCACUCGAUGCGGAAGCUGAUCGCAGACCUGCAGCCCGACACGGAGUACUCGUUUGUGCUGAUGAACCGUGGCAGCAGCGCAGGGGGCCUGCAGCACCUGGUGUCCAUCCGCACGGCCCCCGACCUCCUGCCUCACAAGCCGCUGCCCGCCUCUGCCUACAUAGAGGACGGCCGCUUUGACCUCUCCAUGCCCCAUGUGCAGGACCCCUCGCUUGUCAGCUGGUUCUACAUCGUUGUGGUGCCCAUUGACCGUGUGGGCGGGAGCAUGCUGACGCCAAGGUGGAGCACACCCGAGGAACUGGAGCUGGACGAGCUUCUAGAAGCCAUUGAGCAAGGCAGAGAGGAGCAGCGGCGGCGGCGGCGGCAGGCAGAACGUCUGAAGCCAUAUGUGGCUGCUCAACUGGAUGUGCUCCCCGAGACCUUCACCUUGGGGGACAAGAAGAACUACCGGGGCUUCUACAACCGGCCCCUGUCUCCGGACCUGAGCUACCAGUGCUUUGUGCUUGCCUCCUUGAAGGAACCGAUGGACCAGAAGCGCUAUGCCUCCAGCCCCUACUCGGAUGAGAUCGUGGUCCAGGUGACACCAGCCCAGCAGCAGGAGGAGCCGGAGAUGCUGUGGGUGACGGGUCCCGUGCUGGCAGUCAUCCUCAUCAUCCUCAUUGUCAUCACCAUCCUCUUGUUCAAAAGGAAAAGGACCCACUCCCCAUCCUCUAAGGAUGAGCAGUCGAUCGGACUGAAGGACUCCUUGCUGGCCCACUCCUCUGACCCUGUGGAGAUGCGGAGGCUCAACUACCAGACCCCAGGUAUGCGAGACCACCCACCCAUCCCCAUCACCGACCUGGCAGACAACAUCGAACGCCUCAAAGCCAAUGAUGGCCUCAAGUUCUCCCAGGAGUAUGAGUCCAUCGACCCUGGACAGCAGUUCACGUGGGAGAAUUCAAACCUGGAGGUGAACAAGCCCAAGAACCGCUAUGCGAAUGUCAUCGCCUAUGACCACUCUCGAGUCAUCCUUACCUCCAUCGAUGGUGUCCCCGGAAGUGACUACAUCAAUGCCAACUACAUCGAUGGCUACCGCAAGCAGAAUGCCUACAUCGCCACACAGGGCCCCCUGCCCGAGACCAUGGGCGAUUUCUGGAGAAUGGUGUGGGAACAGCGCACGGCCACUGUGGUCAUGAUGACACGACUGGAGGAGAAGUCCCGGGUAAAAUGUGAUCAGUACUGGCCAGCCCGUGGCACCGAGACCUAUGGCCUUAUUCAGGUGACCCUGUUGGACACAGUGGAGCUGGCCACAUAUACUGUGCGCACCUUCGCACUCCACAAGAGUGGCUCCAGUGAGAAGCGUGAGCUGCGUCAGUUUCAGUUCAUGGCCUGGCCAGACCAUGGAGUUCCUGAGUACCCAACUCCCAUCCUGGCGUUCCUACGACGGGUCAAGGCCUGCAACCCCCUAGACGCAGGGCCCAUGGUGGUGCACUGCAGCGCGGGCGUGGGCCGCACCGGCUGCUUCAUCGUGAUUGAUGCCAUGUUGGAGCGGAUGAAGCACGAGAAGACAGUGGACAUCUAUGGCCACGUGACCUGCAUGCGAUCACAGAGGAACUACAUGGUGCAGACGGAGGACCAGUACGUGUUCAUCCACGAGGCGCUGCUGGAGGCUGCCACGUGCGGCCACACAGAGGUGCCUGCCCGCAACCUCUAUGCCCACAUCCAGAAGCUGGGCCAAGUGCCUCCAGGGGAGAGUGUGACCGCCAUGGAGCUCGAAUUCAAGUUGCUGGCCAGCUCUAAGGCCCACACGUCCCGCUUCAUCAGCGCCAACCUGCCCUGCAACAAGUUCAAGAACCGGCUGGUGAACAUCAUGCCCUACGAAUUGACCCGUGUGUGUCUGCAGCCCAUCCGUGGUGUGGAGGGCUCUGACUACAUCAAUGCCAGCUUCCUGGAUGGUUAUAGACAGCAGAAGGCCUACAUAGCUACACAGGGGCCUCUGGCAGAGAGCACCGAGGACUUCUGGCGCAUGCUAUGGGAGCACAAUUCCACCAUCAUCGUCAUGCUGACCAAGCUUCGGGAGAUGGGCAGGGAGAAAUGCCACCAGUACUGGCCAGCAGAGCGCUCCGCUCGCUACCAGUACUUUGUUGUUGACCCGAUGGCUGAGUACAACAUGCCCCAGUAUAUCCUGCGUGAGUUCAAGGUCACGGAUGCCCGGGAUGGGCAGUCAAGGACAAUCCGGCAGUUCCAGUUCACAGACUGGCCAGAGCAGGGCGUGCCCAAGACAGGCGAGGGAUUCAUUGACUUCAUCGGGCAGGUGCAUAAGACCAAGGAGCAGUUUGGACAGGAUGGGCCUAUCACGGUGCACUGCAGUGCUGGCGUGGGCCGCACCGGGGUGUUCAUCACUCUGAGCAUUGUCCUGGAGCGCAUGCGCUACGAGGGCGUGGUCGACAUGUUUCAGACUGUGAAGACCCUGCGUACACAGCGUCCUGCCAUGGUGCAGACAGAGGACCAGUAUCAGCUGUGCUACCGUGCGGCCCUGGAGUACCUCGGCAGCUUUGACCACUAUGCAACGUAACUACCGCUCCCCUCUCCUCCGCCACCCCCGCCGUGGGGCUCCGGAGGGGACCCAGCUCCUCUGAGCCAUACCGACCAUCGUCCAGCCCUCCUACGCAGAUGCUGUCACUGGCAGAGCACAGCCCACGGGGAUCACAGCGUUUCAGGAACAUUGCCACACCAAUCAGAGAGCCUAGAACAUCCCUGGGCAAGUGGGUGGCCCGGCAGGCAGGCACUGUGGCCCUUCUGUCCGCCAGGCCUGGAGCCCGCUUCAAGCUCUCUGUUGCGCUCCCGCGUUUCUCAUGCUUCUUCUCAUGGGGUGGGGUUGGGGCAAAGCCUCUUUUUUAAUACAUUAAGUGGGGUAGACUGAGGGAUUCUAGCCUCUUCCCUCUGAUUUUUCCUUUUGCGAAUCCGUAUCUGCAGAAUGGGCCACUGUAGGGGUUGGGGUUUAUUUUGUUUUGUUUUUUUUUGUUUUUUUUUUUGAGUUCACUUUGGAUCCUAUUUUGUAUGACUUCUGCUGAAGGACAGAACAUUGCCUUCCUCGUGCAGAGCUGGGGCUGCCAGCCUGAGCGGAGGCUCGGCUGUGGGCCGGGAGGCAGCGCUGAUCCGGCUGCUCCUCCAGCCCUUCAGACGAGAUCCUGUUUCAGCUAAAUGCAGGGAAACUCAAUUUUUUUUUAAGUUUUGUUUUCCCUUAAAAGCCUUUUUUUAGGCCACAUUGACAGUGGUGGGCGGGGAGAAGAUAGGGAACACUCAUCCCUGGUCGUCUAUCCCAGUGUGUGUUUAACAUUCACAGCCCAGAACCACAGACGUGUCUGGGAGAGCCUGGCAAGGCAUUCCUCAUCACCAUCGUGUUUGCAAAGGUUAAAAAAAAAACAAAAAACCACAAAAAUAAAAAACAAAAAAACAAAAAACCCAAGAAAAAAAAAGAGUCAGCCCUUGGCUUCUGCUUCAAACCCUCAAGAGGGGAAGCAACUCCGUGUGCCUGGGGUUCCCGAGGGAGCUGCUGGAUGACCUGGGCCCACAGAGCCUGGCUUUGGUCCCCAGCAUUGCAGUAUGGUGUGGUGUUUGUAGGCUGUGGGGUCCGGCUGUGUGACCAAGGUGAAUAGCACAGGUCAGGGUGUGUGCCACACCUCAUGCACCUCAGGGCCAAGCGGGGGCGUGGCUGGCCUUUCAGGUCCAGGCCAGUGGGCCUGGUAGCACAUGUCUGUCCUCAGAGCAGGGGCCAGAUGAUUUUCCUCCCUGGUUUGCAGCUGUUUUCAAAGCCCCCGAUAAUCGCUCUUUUCCACUCCAAGAUGCCCUCAUAAACCAAUGUGGCAAGACUACUGGACUUCUAUCAAUGGUACUCUAAUCAGUCCUUAUUAUCCCAGCUUGCUGAGGGGCAGGGAGAGGGCCUCUUCCUCUGGGCAGCGCUAUCUAGAUAGGUAAGUGGGGGCGGGGAAGGGUGCAUAGCUGUUUUAGCUGAGGGACGUGGUGCCGACGUCCCCGAACCUAGCUAGGAUAAGUCAAGAUCAACAUUCCAGGGUUGGUAAUGUUGGAUGAUGAAACAUUCAUUUUUACCUUGUGGAUGCUAGUGCUGUAGAGUUCACUGUUGUACACAGUCUGUUUUCUAUUUGUUAAGAAAAACUACAGCAUCAUUGCAUAAUUCUUGAUGGUAAUAAAUUUGAAUAAUCAGAUUUCUUACAAA
rnacentral:sRNA from 1 species